rnacentral:rRNA from 1 species
UUUUUAUUGAGAGUUUGAUCCUGGCUCAGGACGAACGCUGGCGGUAUGCUUAACACAUGCAAGUCGAACGAGACGAGAUGGAAUGACCCUUCGGGGGAAUGAAAUCUUAGAAAGUGGCGAACGGGUGAGUAACGCGUGGGUAACCUGCCCUAUGGAAAGGAAUAGCCUCGGGAAACUGGGAG